rnacentral:tRNA from 2 species
GGGCCCGUAGCUCAGCUGGAUAGAGCGGCUGACUACGGAUCAGCAGGUCGGGGGUUCGAAUCCUCCCGGGCCCG